CCUGGUAGUUAUAGCGGAGGGGAAACACCCGUAACCAUUCCGAACACGGAAGUUAAGCCCUCCUGCGCUGAUGGUACUGCCCUUCGAGGUGGGAGAGUAAGUCGCUGCCAGGA
rnacentral:rRNA from 1 species